UCGGACCGGCCCCAGAUGAAGGGCAACUUUCGUCCAGGGUAGGAAAGUCAGUCAAACUUGGUCAUUUAGAGGAAGUACAAGUCGUAACAAGGUUUCCGUAGGUGAACCUGCGGAAGGAUCAUUAUAGAAUUGGUUGCUUGCAACCUUCACUAUAACAUACUGUUCACGUUCCUGUUGCUUCCCUAGCGUUAGGAGGCUUUCCCCUUGCGGGACUGUUUCUGCUAGGGAGCUUUGUAAAACAUAUUGUGUAUUUAUUCUGAAUCUACCAUGAAAAUGGAUAUUAAAACUUUCAACAACGGAUCUCUAGGCUCUUGCAUCGAUGAAGAACGCAGCGAAAUGCGAUACGUAGUGUGAAUUGCAGACUCCAGUGAAUCAUCGAAUCUUUGAACGCACAUUGCGCCCACUGGUAUUCCGGUGGGCAUGCCUGUCUGAGCGUCAGUAUAAUCUCAAGCAACCGCUUGGUAUUGGAAGAUGAUCUGCCUAGCAGUUCCCUUCUUAAACUGAUUGGCAAGUUUACAUAGCAGCAAGCGUAGUAGAAAUACCAUCAGCUUAGUUACUCUGUAUAGCUUUGUCAAAAUCAAACUAUUUUUAAGGUUUGACCUCAGAUCAGGUAAGGAUACCCCCUGAACUUAAGCAUAUCAAUAAGGGGAGGAAAAGAAACCAACAGGGAUUGCCCUAGUAACGGCGAGUGAAGCGGCAUCAGCUCAAAUUUGAAAUCUGGCUCUUUCAGAGUCCGAGUUGUAAUUUGUAGAGGCAUAUUCGGGAAGCGGUUUAGUCUAUGUUCUUUGGGACAGGGCGUCAUAGAGGG
rnacentral:rRNA from 1 species